rnacentral:rRNA from 1 species
AUUGAACGCUGGCGGCAGGCUUAACACAUGCAAGUCGAGCGGGGAAGGGUAGCUUGCUACCUAACCUAGCGGCGGACGGGUGAGUAAUGCUUAGGAAUCUGCCUAUUAGUGGGGGACAACAUUCCGAAAGGAAUGCUAAUACCGCAUACGCCCUACGGGGGAAAGCAGGGGAUCUUCGGACCUUGCGCUAAUAGAUGAGCCUAAGUCAGAUUAGCUAGUUGGUGGGGUAAAGGCCUACCAAGGCGACGAUCUGUAGCGGGUCUGAGAGGAUGAUCCGCCACACUGGGACUGAGGCACGGCCCAGACUCCGACGGGAGGCAGCAGUGGGGAAUAUUGGACAAUGGGCGCAAGCCUGAUCCAGCCAUGCCGCGUGUGUGAAGAAGGCCUUUUGGUUGUAAAGCACUUUAAGCGAGGAGGAGGCUACUUGGAUUAAUACCCUAGGAUAGUGGACGUUACUCGCAGAAUAAGCACCGGCUAACUCUGUGCCAGCCGCCGCCGUAACAC